rnacentral:rRNA from 1 species
GCAGUGGGGAAUAUUGCACAAUGGGGGAAACCCUGAUGCAGCGACGCCGCGUGGAGGAAGAAGGUCUUCGGAUUGUAAACUCCUGUUGUUGGGGAAAAAGAGGAUGGUACCCAACAAGGAAGUGACGGCUAACUACGUGCCAGCAGCCGCGGUAAAACGUAGGUCACAAGCGUUGUCCGGAAUUACUGGGUGUAAAGGGAGCGCAGGCGGGAAGACAAGUUGGAAGUGAAAUCCAUGGGCUCAACCCAUGAACUGCUUUCAAAACUGUUUUUCUUGAGUAGUGCAGAGGUAGGCGGAAUUCCCGGUGUAGCGGUGGAAUGCGUAGAUAUCGGGAGGAACACCAGUGGCGAAGGCGGCCUACUGGGCACCAACUGACGCUGAGGCUCGAAAGUGUGGGUAGCAAACAGGAUUAGAUACCC